rnacentral:tRNA from 1 species
GCCGGAGUGGUGGAACUGGUAGACGCGCCGGACUCAAAAUCCGGUGGUGGCAACACUGUGCGAGUUCGAGUCUCGCCUCCGGCA